rnacentral:tRNA from 2 species
GGGCCCAUGGCUCAGUUGGUUAGAGCGUUCGGUUCACAUCCGAAAGGUCACAGGUUCGAGUCCUGUUGGGCCCA